rnacentral:rRNA from 1 species
GCGAAUUAUAUCGGAGGUCUUCGGGCCGAAGAGAUAAUAAGCUAGUGGCGGACGGGUGCGUAACGUGUGGGUAAUCUGCCUUUGUCAUAGGAAUAACUGCUUGAAAAAGUAGCUAAUACCAAAUAACAUAUCGUAUAGGCAUCUAUAAGAUAUCAAAGAGAAAUCGGACAAAGAUGAGCCCGCAUCUGAUUAGCUAGUUGGUAGGGUAAAAGCCUACCAAGGCGACGAUCAGUAGCCGGCCUGAGAGGGUGAACGGCCACAUUGGAACUGAGACACGGUCCAAACUCCUACGGGAGGCAGCAGUGGGGAAUAUUGCACAAUGGGGGGAACCCUGAUGCAGCAACGCCGCGUGAGUGAAGAAGGCUUUCGAGUCGUAAAACUCUGUUGUAAGGGAAGAUAAUGACGGACCUAAAAGAAG